AAUUCCUAACGGAAAGUGAGCUCAGUCGUAGCGCCGAACUGCUCGGAUAACGCAGAGGAAGCCCGAAACUUACACGGAGCCUUCUUUCCUUUCAUGUUUACAGCAUACAUAAAUUCAUCCGGCACCUGGAUGGAAACUGUCUUGAUUCAGAAGCAGGGACGUCCAGCCCAAGGGUGCUUUUUCCAGAGAGGAAAGGGAUGAUCUUCUCGAACAGGAGGAUGCAGCUCGCCACACCUGGACCCACAUGUGGAAAACACAGGAGGUUACUGUGGUGGAUAAACAGGAGCCAAUCAGGCUCUAGCAAAGAUAUUUCAGACCUUCGCCUGCAACCAUUUCCUCCACGGUUCCCAAGAACAACGGAGUAGUUUUUUUUUUCCCAGAUCUAUCCAGACAACACAGGACACAGCACUGCGACAUCUUGAAAAACAGGAGAGCUUUGGCGAAGUUGGACCCGGAAACAGUAUUUUGAUCGGUCAUGACAUCACGUCACGUCAUAAUGCCAACAAUAAUUAAAUCUCCAAUUAAUUCUCACCUUUUUUUGUGUAAAAUUUGCAGCAGUAAUUGCUCCUAACAUGAUUUGGGUCAGCUGAAGUAACGGUUUUAAUCUGCUUCAGUUUAAUUCUCAAGACCUUUUUUGUGUUUAGAGCUGAAACAAUCAGCCUGAUAAUCGCUCACGUGAUUCACAAAAAGUUAUAUAAAUGCUUAAAGUUUAUUGGUUCCAACUUUAGCCUCCAGCAUGUGUAAAUAUUUGCUGGUUUUCCAGUUCUGUGUUGGAUUAAAUAUGUUUUUGUGCUCUG